rnacentral:rRNA from 1 species
CGCGCGCUACAAUGAUACACACAACGAGUUUUCCUUGUCCGAAAGGUCCGGGUAAUCUUUAUCAAUGCGUAUCGUAAUAGGGAUAGAUUUUUGCAAUUCUGAAUCUUGAACGAGGAAUUCCUAGUAAAUGCGGGUCAUCAGCUCGCGUUGAUUACGUCCCUGCCCUUUGUACACACCGCCCGUCGCACCUACCGAUUGAAUGGUUCGGUGAAAAUCUCGGACUGUGGUUCGGAUGCCUUCGGGCAACUGAGUUGCGGGAAGUUAUUUAAACCUCAUCAUUUAGAGGAAGGUGAAGUCGUAACAAGGUUUCCGUAGGUGAACCUGCGGAAGGAUCAUUACCACACC